UACGUAGGGUGCAAGCGUUAAUCGGAAUUACUGGGCGUAAAGCGUGCGCAGGCGGUUUUGUAAGUCUGUCGUGAAAUCCCCGGGCUCAACCUGGGAAUUGCGAUGGAGACUGCAAGGCUGGAGUCUGGCAGAGGGGGGUAGAAUUCCACGUGUAGCAGUGAAAUGCGUAGAGAUGUGGAGGAACACCGAUGGCGAAGGCAGCCCCCUGGGUCAAGACUGACGCUCAUGCACGAAAACGUGGGGAGCAAACAGG
rnacentral:rRNA from 1 species